GUCCCCAUCGUCUAGAGGCCUAGGACACCGCCCUUUCACGGCGACGACCGGGGUUCGACUCCCCGUGGGGACGCCA
rnacentral:tRNA from 5 species